UUAUCACUAGUAAAGCCUUUCUUCCCACAGCAGGUGUGGCCCACUGGCUUUGUGAAUAAUGUGAAUGCUCAUGAAACCCGAUAUGUGGACUCGAGUGGCACUAUUUGUCCUCCAUACUUUCGACACACUAACACGGAAGCCCGAAGUUCACUCCAGAUGUUUCUUGUCGCUACACAUGAACCACAGAGAUGGAAAAAUAUCCGCUCUGAGAGUCCUCUGACCAGAUUUAACAACGACAUCCAAUGGCGAAGCCAGCAGAGACCCGGAGAGGAGCCUGUCCAUCAGAGACACUUGAUUAUCGGAGACUUGGACACAACCCCGGAAACAGCAGUGUGACUCCUCUGGUGAAGGCCUACAGCAGAGACAGGAAGGUCCAAUGAAAUGGUCUGAGACAAGAG